UACGUAGGGCGCGAGCGUUGUCCGGAAUUAUUGGGCGUAAAGAGCUCGUAGGCGGCUUGUCACGUCGGGUGUGAAAGACCGGGGCUUAACUCCGGUUCUGCAUUCGAUACGGGCUAGCUAGAGUGUGGUAGGGGAGAUCGGAAUUCCUGGUGUAGCGGUGAAAUGCGCAGAUAUCAGGAGGAACACCGGUGGCGAGGGCAGGUCUCUGGGCCACUACUGACGCUGAGAAGCGAAAGCAUGGGGAGCGAACAGG
rnacentral:rRNA from 1 species